rnacentral:rRNA from 1 species
ACAGGGAUUGCCCUAGUAACGGCGAGUGAAGCGGCAACAGCUCAAAUUUGAAAUCUGGCUCUUUUAGAGUCCGAGUUGUAAUUUGCAGAGGGCGCUUUGGCUUUGGCAGCGGUCCAAGUUCCUUGGAACAGGACGUCACAGAGGGUGAGAAUCCCGUACGUGGUCGCUGGCUAUUGCCGUGUAAAGCCCCUUCGACGAGUCGAGUUGUUUGGGAAUGCAGCUCUAAAUGGGAGGUACAUUUCUUCUAAAGCUAAAUAUUGGCCAGAGACCGAUAGCGCACAAGUAGAGUGAUCGAAAGAUGAAAAGCACUUUGGAAAGAGAGUCAAACAGCACGUGAAAUUGUUGAAAGGGAAGCGCUUGCAGCCAGACUUGCUUGCAGUUGCUCAUCCGGGCUUUUGCCCGGUGCACUCUUCUGUAGGCAGGCCAGCAUCAGUUUGGGCGGUAGGAUAAAGGUCUCUGUCACGUACCUCUCUUCGGGGAGGCCUUAUAGGGGAGACGACAUACUACCAGCCUGGACUGAGGUCCGCGCAUCUGCUAGGAUGCUGGCGUAAUGGCUGUAAGCGGCCCGUCUUGAAACACGGACCAAGGAGUCUAACAUCUAUGCGAGUGUUUGGGUGUCAAGCCCGAGCGCGGAAUGAAAGUGAACGGAGGUGGGAACCCGCAAGGGUGCACCAUCGACCGAUCCUGAUGUCUUCGGAAGGAUUUGAGUAAGAGCAUGGCUGUUGGGACCCGAAAGAUGGUGAACUAUGCUUGAAUAGGGUGAAGCCAGAGGAAACUCUGGUGGAGGCUCGCAGCGGUUCUGACGUGCAAAUCGAUCGUCAAAUUUGGGCAUAGGGGCGAAAGACUAAU